AUUGAACGCUGGCGGCAUGCCUUACACAUGCAAGUCGAACGGUAACAGGGAGCUUGCUCCGCUGACGAGUGGCGAACGGGUGAGUAAUGUAUCGGAACGUACCUUUCAGUGGGGGAUAACGUAGCGAAAGUUACGCUAAUACCGCAUAUUCUGUGAGCAGGAAAGCAGGGGAUCGCAAGACUUUGCGCUGAUUGAGCGGCCGAUAUCAGAUUAGCUAGUUGGUGAGGUAAAGGCUCACCAAGGCGACGAUCUGUAGCGGGUCUGAGAGGAUGAUCCGCCACACUGGAACUGAGACACGGUCCAGACUCCUACGGGAGGCAGCAGUGGGGAAUUUUGGACAAUGGGGGCAACCCUGAUCCAGCCAUGCCGCGUGAGUGAAGAAGGCCUCGG
rnacentral:rRNA from 1 species